AUUGAACGCUGGCGGCAUGCCUAACACAUGCAAGUCGAACGCGAAAGGGGGCGACCCUGAGUAGAGUGGCGGACGGGUGAGUAACGCAUCGGAAUUUACCCUGUCGUGGGGGAUAACCAAGGGAAACUUUGGCUAAUACCGCAUGAUCUGGUGACAGCAAAGCGGGGGACCUGCAAGGGCCUCGCGCGAUGGGAUGAGCCGAUGUCUGAUUAGCUAGUUGGUAGGGUAAAGGCCUACCAAGGCGACGAUCAGUAGCUGGUCUGAGAGGAUGAUCAGCCACACUGGGACUGAGACACGGCCCAGACUCCUACGGGAGCAGCAGUGGGGAAUAUUGGACAAUGGGGGGCAACCCUGAUCCAGCAAUGCCGCGUGUGUGAAGAAGGCCUGGCGGGUUGUAAAAGCACUUUUGUCAAGGGAAGUAAAGCACUGGGCUAAUACCUUUGUGUGCUGA
rnacentral:rRNA from 1 species